rnacentral:tRNA from 1 species
GGAGGGAUGGCUGAGCGGUUGAAAGCGCACGCUUGGAAAGCUUGUGUACUGUCAAAGGUACCGUGGGUUCGAAUCCCGCUCUCUCCGCCA